UACGGGGGGAGCAAGCGUUGUUCGGAUUUACUGGGCGUAAAGGGCGCGUAGGCGGUCGUGACAAGUCACUUGUGAAAUCUCCGGGCUUAACUCGGAACGGUCAAGUGAUACUGUCGGACUAGAGUACAGAAGGGGCAACUGGAAUUCUCGGUGUAGCGGUGAAAUGCGUAGAUAUCGAGAGGAACACCUGCGGCGAAGGCGGGUUGCUGGGCUGAUACUGACGCUGAGGCGCGAAAGCCAGGUGAGCGAACGGG
rnacentral:rRNA from 1 species